GGAUUAGAUACCCUGGUAGUCCACGCCGUAAACGAUGAGUGCUAGUUGUCGGGGGCUCAGUCUUCGGUGACGUAGUUAACGCGUUAAGCACUCCGCCUGGGGAGUACGGCCGCAAGGUUAAAACUCAAAGGAAUUGACGGGGACCCUCACAAGCGGUGGAGCAUGUUGUUUAAUUCGAAGCAACGCGAAGAACCUUACCCACACUUGACAUCCUGGUCGCGGAUUUCAGAGAUGAUUUCCUUCAGCUCGGCUGGACCAGUGACAGGUGCUGCAUGGCUGUCGUCAGCUCGUAUCG
rnacentral:rRNA from 1 species